UGGGAUUUCUCCAUUGAAGCUAUUGUUACCAAAGUCCAAAUAUUUCAUCCGACGCAAAUUAGUUAACUCAACGGGUAAAGAGCCUUGAAAACUAUUUUGAUGAAUAUCGAGCCAAGCAAGGAAAGAUAGAUUUCCCAAUUGAGAAGAAAUGGUGCCUGUGAGAUCCAUGCUUGACAAAUUCAGAGCAGUGACUCUAUAGUGUUUAGAUCCACAUGUGACACCAAUCCAGCUACAAACGGAGGUAGAAGUAGAUCAAUUGGUUGUCAAGAAAUUGUGAGGAUCAUGAGUUAUAUGAGAUUUGAGUGCUAGAAGAGCAGAUUGAUCAACGGUGAUGCUAGAAUAUUUUGCAGACAAAAUAACCCCAAAGGUUGCAAAUAGCAGCCCAAACAUAAAUGGAGGGAGGAAGCUUGGUUUUGCCAUAAGGUUGGACAUGGGUGUAAGGCGCAUCAUAAGGAGAGAAACAACCGAGUUUAAUACUUUUUAAUGUUAGUUCAAUAUUCUUUAAAUACUUUUCUAAUUUGAAAAUUCGUCACAUGAAUUGAUGAGUCCCAGUUGGCAUUGUAGGCAUUUUUUUGAGCAUUCUAGGCAUUUUUUUUAGCACUAAACACAAAAAUAUUUGUAACUAUUUUCCUAGCAAACCCUUAAUUUAUUUGUUGAGCAUAUUAGUGUCGGUUUAAUUUACCUAUUUUUAAAUAUGCAAGUUUUGUUUAGUUUUAUAGUACUUAUGACAACCCAAAAUUAUUUUAGUUAUAAUACUCAAAUUUUUAGUUGAAAUGAUGAUGAAAAUUAGAUGGAAUAAAAUAGUUCACGCUUAUUAGUUUUGCUCAAAUAUAGGAUACAUCAUCGAAGCCGAACAAAUAUAUAUAUAUACUUAGAAACUUUUAUUAGUUAGAAGUGAUUAGCUAAUGUCAAACAACUCAUACUAUUGCAUACAAUAUGUUUCCCUAAACUGUAUGCUAUUUAUCUCUCGCCACAAAUUAUCAAAAACACAUGUGCAUUUUAAGCCAAACAUUUAUAAUAGUGAUAAGCGCCGUAUAGAUACAAUUUCUUGCUAAGGAAUCAGCAAACACACACAUAUCUGCACAUAUUGACACACACAUAUAUGCACAUAUAGACUACUAGGAACCCAAAAAUGUCGCUAGACCCCAGAUAUAGUCUAGGUGAAAAGGGACUGAGGAGUUGAACAGUAAAGAAACUAGUAAGAACUCACAUGAUAAUGAGCUUGUUGUAACCAGAAUACAAAGAUUGGGGCAUAGUCAAGUUUCCAAUUUCUAUAGGCAUAAUUCCCUCCAAAGAGUUGUUAUGCAAUGAUAAAUACAUCAACUCUUUACACUUGAAUAAGCUAUUUGAAAUUCUACUGAAAUUUAAUUAUGUGUCAAGCUUAAUAAUUGCAAUUUAGAAAUUUGAUUAUGUGUCAAGCUUAAGAAUUGCAAUUUAGAAAUGUUAUCAAACAUGUUGAUAGUAGAUGACCUAUAAUGAGAUGAUUAGUUUUAAAACUAAUUUUUUACUGAUGAAAAUAUAUUCAAGUUUUACACAUGUAAGGAACCUGAAUAAGAAUUAUUAUGAAAAUAUAAUCAAAUGAAGCUUGAAAAAUUCCUAGGUAUUAUAGGAAUCUGCCCUUCUAAAUCAUUGUUAUAUAAUAUCAACUGUUAAAUAUUUGAGUCGAAAUUUAUUAUUUGAAAGAGUUUAAUCAUUUUAAGCUGUCUAAUAUUGAAAAUAUUAAAUUAACUUUAGUAGAGUUUAAUUAUAUAUAUAUAUAUAUAUUAUAUUUUAAUAUUUAAUAAAAUUACAUUUUUUAAUUCAAAAAAAUAUUUUAAUCGAUCAUUUUUAUUAAUUUUCGAGUUCAAGCUUAUAUAUAUAAUAUAUAUGUUGAGCUAGAAAUACUACAAAAAGUUGACAUUUUUUAAAAGUAUGAUAAUUUGAAUAGAAGUAACAUAUGCUAAUGUGGAGUAAUUGUUUCAUAUAAUCCUUUUUAUGAUGAAAUGAUUGCUUAAUUUACUUCAUAACUUCUUACAUUUAGACAUAAUAAUGAGGUUUUAAUCUUUUAAGGUAACUUUUAUUUUAUUUACUUAAAAAAAUUGCAUAAAUUUAAUAACAAAAAGGAGAAUAAAAGAAACAUGAAAUUAUACCUGUCAAUUUGUUAUUGCCAAGAUAAAGCUCUCGAAGAGAAAUCAAGUGUCCAAUAACAAGAGGAAUUUCACCUGAAACAUAUAAUUAAAUCAGUCAAAAUUUGCAAAUAUUUUCCUAGCAACCCCUUAAUUUAUUUGUUGGCAUAUUAGUGUCUGUUUCAUUUACCUAUUUUUAAAUAUGCAAGUUUUGUUUAGUCUUAUAGUACUUAUGAUAACCCAAAAAUAUUUUAAUUAUAAUACUCAAAUUAACAAUAAAAAAAUAUUUAUCUUUGUGCUAGAAAAAAACACCGCAUAGAUCAUAAAAAGGAAAAACUAAAACAUCCAAAAAAACACUAAACACAAAAUUCAUAGUUGUAGAGGAGAAUUAGAUACAUUGGUCCCAUAAUAUGUCACUCAAAAUCUAAAAAUCAUCCAACAAAAAGAAAUCAUCACUUUAGUUAAUUAAAGCAAGAAAAAAUAAAGUUUUGGAUGAACAAAUAAAUUUAAAGUCUUUAAGUUUCGAAUUUAGAAUUUUAAUAUUUAUUUAUAAUUAAUCUGCUAAAAUCCUUUUGAGUGUCAUCAGCCCUCCUAUUAGCUUUUGUCUUAGUACCAAAACUUAAACAGCUUUGCUUUGAGUGUCUUAAAAUCAUAGGCAAGGAUAUUCCAGCAUGUCAUGAUUUUCACCAGACUCGAUGAGCAGAUAAAAACUGGGUCACCUGUCUGGUAAGUUGUUCCAAGUCAUUUAACUUGGGGGGGUCCCCUCUACUUAAAGAAUGCUCCUUCACGGGCUCCACUUUUCGACCCUCCAAAACCCAAUGUCCCUAUCCAUCUCAGUCCCCACUCAAAACUUUAAAUUUUAAUUCAUCCUGGAGGGAAACAACAAAAGGCAGAGAGGGCUGCCUAGCGCCCUUUCCUAGAUAUUAUUAUCGGUAACUUCAAUUCAAAUACUAAUUACCAAACCCUAUGUGUCCAAAACCAAACAUCAAACUCCAAAUUCCGUCCAACAAUCAAACACCAAACACGAAACUGCUCAAAAACAACCCCAAUAAACCUCAAAUUUCACUAACUCGUUGUGAGGCGGAAAGGAUAUAAAGCCAAGUGCGUAGUCCUCACGCCAUGAAGUAGUUUCCUUUGCUUACCACAUCAUUUCCCAAUUCACAAUUUUUUUGCUUUCCAACGCCAAAUGUUAACUCAUUGCACUUGAUUAAACUAUUUGGAAUUCUACCCGAAAUCUUAUCGCCUCUCAACUUUAAGACUUGCAGUUUAGAUAGGUUAUCAAAUAUUUCUAACUGUAGAUGACCUACAACGAUAAUAUUAUUACCUAGUUUUGACAUUUCUAGUUUUGAGAAAUUGCUUAGGGUAGAUAGGGAUAACACCAAUGAAGUUGUUACUAUACGUACAAAUACAAGCUUUUAAAUUUUAGAAAUUAUUGUUGCCAAAGUUGAAAUAUUCUAACUGAUGCAAACUAGUGUACUCAAUUAAUGGGUAAACAAACAUAGAAACUAUUGUUACAAAUGUUGAGUUUGGCAAGGAAAGAAGAUUUCCAGUUAAGAUGGUAUGGUGUUUGUGAAAUCCAUACCUAAUGCAUCAAGAGUUGUGAUGUUUGAAUUUAUAAGUAAAAGUAAUCUAUGAGAUUUUAAUGCUACAAGGUUGAUUUGAUUAACGGUGAAAUUAGGUAGGGGAUAAGGCUAUUCAGAGAGGAGGGAAAUAGUUGAGUGUAAAAUUCUACAUGAAUUCUUUUAAGUUCAAUAUUCAAAAUAUUCAGAUUUCCAUCAUCAAAGUUGAAUAGUUUGUAAUUCAAAUUACUGCUCUCUUUUUACUUGUACCAAUAUUUCCUAUAUUUUUCUUAUGUUAAAAUAGUCAAAGUAUUAAAUAUAUAAUUAAUUGGAGAGAAGUCAAAAGCUAAUUAAUAAUAUAUAGGGAUCGCAUAAAUGUAACAAAAAAAAAUGAUAUUAUACCUGAUAAGUUAUUAUAAGCAAGAUCAAUAACUUCGAGAGUAGUCAAGUUUUCAAUAGUUGAUGGGAUUUUACCUAAAAAUAUAAAGAAAUUGGUCAAAAUAUGUUAUCUUUGUGUGUACUUGUUUUUAAGCCAAAAGUAUUAUAGUAAGAAGUUAAAAGAUUGUAAAUAAUUAGUAAGAUAUAGCACCUGGUGGAGGAGGGAAAAUACCAAAAUGAGCUUUAUAAAAUGCAGUUUUUCGGGAAUAUAGAAAGUUGACAUCAAUGAGUCUCUCGACUCCACAAGUUUUUGCGGCAAAAUAAAAACUAACAAUAUUUAAGCACAUGAAAUGCAAUGAAAACAAACAACAGUUCUGAAGAAACAAAGUAAAUGCAACCUCAAAAAAGUUUGGUUCUGCUAGCACUGAACUUAGUGGUUAUUGUUUAAAGUCCCGCUUCACUACUUAAAACAACUGUUGAUGGAAAUUAGAUCAAAAUGAAUGAAACAAUAACCAGGAAUUGUUUACCUUUGAAAUGGUUGAGACCAAGACCCAACGUCUUGAGCAAAGUCAAAUUUCCAAUUUCUGUAGGUAUACUUCCCUCCAAGGAGUUGUUAAACAAUGAUAAAAACUUCAGCUCUUUGCACUUGAAUAAACUAUUUGGAAUUCUACCGGAAAUUUGAUUCCCACCCAAGCUCAACAUUUCUAGUUUUGACAAAUUGCCUAGAGUAGAUGGGAUAACACCAAUGAAGUUGUUAAGGUACAGAGACAAUCUUCGAAGUUUACUGAAGCAACCAAACCAUGGUGGGAUUUCUCCAUUGAAGCUAUUGUUACCUAAGUCCAAAUAAUUCAUCCGACGCAAAUUAGUUAACUCAAUGGGUAAAGAGCCUUGGAAACUAUUUUGAUGAAUAUCGAGCCAAGCAAGGAAAGAUAGAUUUCCCAAUUGAGAAGAAAUGGUGCCUGUGAGAUCCAUGCUUGACAAAUUCAGAGCAGUGACUCUAUAGUGUUUAGAUCCACAUGUGACACCAAUCCAGCUACAAACGGAGAUAGAAGUAGUCCAAUUGGUUGUCAAGAAAUUGUGAGGAUCAUGAAUUAUAUGAGAUUUGAGUGCUAGAAGAGCAGAUUGAUCAACGGUGAUGCUAGAAUAUUUUGCAGAUAAAAUAACCCCAAAGGUUGCAAAUAGCAGCCCAAACAUAAACGGAGGGAGGAAGCUUGGUUUUUCCAUAAGGUUGGAUAUGGGUGUAAGGCGCAUCAUAAGGAGAGAAACAACCGAGUUUAAUACUUUCCUAAUGUUAGUUCAAUACUUCGUAAGUU
rnacentral:lncRNA from 1 species